UGGUACAUAAUUAUCAGUGAUGGGUCCAUGAGGCGUCGUGUGGCGUCCCGACACAUUGGCAAACUGUAUUGACACUGUGUCGAUACUGUGUCGCUGACUGCUGACACCCGCUGGACCUUAAAAAUACUACAGGCAACCCUAGUUGACAGACACGACUGACACUGAUUUGAUGA